CAGCCGCCGCGGUAAUACGUAGGUGGCAAGCGUUGUCCGGAAUUAUUGGGCGUAGAGGGAGCGCAGGCGGACAUAUAAGUCCAUCUUAAAAGUGCGGGGCUCAACCCCGUGAGGGGAUGGAAACUGUAUGCCUUGAGUGCAGGAGAGGAAAGCGGAAUUCCCAGUGUAGCGGUGAAAUGCGUAGAUAUUGGGAGGAACACCAGUGGCGAAGGCGACUUUCUGGACGAAAACUGACGCUGAGGCGCGAAAGCCAGGGGAGCGAACGGGAUUAGAUACCCCAGUAGUCCCUGUCUCUUAUACA
rnacentral:rRNA from 1 species